rnacentral:rRNA from 1 species
UGAACGCUAGCUACAGGCUUAACACAUGCAAGUCGAGGGGCAUCAGGAAGAAAGCUUGCUUUCUUUGCUGGCGACCGGCGCACGGGUGAGUAACACGUAUCCAACCUGCCCUUUACUCGGGGAUAGCCUUUCGAAAGAAAGAUUAAUACCCGAUAGCAUAAUGAUUCCGCAUGGUUUCAUUAUUAAAGGAUUCCGGUAAAGGAUGGGGAUGCGUUCCAUUAGGUUGUUGGUGAGGUAACGGCCCACCAAGCCUUCGAUGGAUAGGGGUUCUGAGAGGAAGGUCCCCCACAUUGGAACUGAGACACGGUCCAAACUCCUACGGGAGGCAGCAGUGAGGAAUAUUGGUCAAUGGGCGCUAGCCUGAACCAGCCAAGUAGCGUGAAGGAUGAAGGCUCUAUGGGUCGUAAACUUCUUUCAUAUAAGAAUAAAGUGCAGUAUGUAUACUGUUUUGUAUGUAUUAUAUGAAUAAGGAUCGGCUAACUCCGUGCCAGCAGCCGCGGUAAUACGGAGGAUCCGAGCGUUAUCCGGAUUUAUUGGGUUUAAAGGGAGCGUAGGUGGACUGGUAAGUCAGUUGUGAAAGUUUGCGGCUCAACCGUAAAAUUGCAGUUGAUACUGUCAGUCUUGAGUACAGUAGAGGUGGGCGGAAUUCGUGGUGUAGCGGUGAAAUGCUUAGAUAUCACGAAAAACUCCGAUUGCGAAGGCAGCUCACUGGACUGCAACUGACACUGAUGCUCGAAAGUGUGGGUAUCAAACAGGAUUAGAUACCCUGGUAGUCCACACAGUAAACGAUGAAUACUCGCUGUUUGCGAUAUACAGUAAGCGGCCAAGCGAAAGCAUUAAGUAUUCCACCUGGGGAGUACGCCGGCAACGGUGAAACUCAAAGGAAUUGACGGGGGCCCGCACAAGCGGAGGAACAUGUGGUUUAAUUCGAUGAUACGCGAGGAACCUUACCCGGGCUUAAAUUGCAGUGGAAUGAUGUGGAAACAUGUCAGUGAGCAAUCACCGCUGUGAAGGUGCUGCAUGGUUGUCGUCAGCUCGUGCCGUGAGGUGUCGGCUUAAGUGCCAUAACGAGCGCAACCCUUAUCUUUAGUUACUAACAGGUUAUGCUGAGGACUCUAGAGAGACUGCCGUCGUAAGAUGUGAGGAAGGUGGGGAUGACGUCAAAUCAGCACGGCCCUUACGUCCGGGGCUACACACGUGUUACAAUGGGGGGUACAGAAGGCAGCUAGCGGGUGACCGUAUGCUAAUCCCAAAAUCCUCUCUCAGUUCGGAUCGAAGUCUGCAACCCGACUUCGUGAAGCUGGAUUCGCCAGUAAUCGCGCAUCAGCCACGGCGCGGUGAAUACGUUCCCGGGCCUUGUACACACCGCCCGUCAAGCCAUGGGAGCCGGGGGUACCUGAAGUACGUAACCGCAAGGAUCGUCCUAGGGUAAAACUGGUGACUGGGGC